rnacentral:rRNA from 1 species
UACGUAGGGAGCAAGCGUUGUCCGGAUUUACUGGGUGUAAAGGGCGUGUAGGCGGAGACGCAAGUCAGGAGUGAAAUCCCCGGGCUCAACCCGGGAACUGCUUUUGAAACUGCGUCCCUUGAGUAUCGGAGAGGCAGGCGGAAUUCCUAGUGUAGCGGUGAAAUGCGUAGAUAUUAGGAGGAACACCAGUGGCGAAGGCGGCCUGCUGGACGACAACUGACGCUGAGGCGCGAAGGCGUGGGGAGCAAACAGG